rnacentral:tRNA from 1 species
UCCCUGGUGGUCCAGUGGUUAGGACUCAGCACUUUCUCUGCUGAGGCCUGGGUUCAAUCCCAGGGCUGGGAA